rnacentral:rRNA from 1 species
GAUGAACGCUGGCGGCGUGCCUAAUACAUGCAAGUCGAACGAGUUCUCGUUGAUGAUCGGUGCUUGCACCGAGAUUCAACAUGGAACGAGUGGCGGACGGGUGAGUAACACGUGGGUAACCUGCCCUUAAGUGGGGGAUAACAUUUGGAAACAGAUGCUAAUACCGCAUAGAUCCAAGAACCGCAUGGUUCUUGGCUGAAAGAUGGCGUAAGCUAUCGCUUUUGGAUGGACCCGCGGCGUAUUAGCUAGUUGGUGAGGUAAUGGCUCACCAAGGCGAUGAUACGUAGCCGAACUGAGAGGUUGAUCGGCCACAUUGGGACUGAGACACGGCCCAAACUCCUACGGGAGGCAGCAGUAGGGAAUCUUCCACAAUGGACGCAAGUCUGAUGGAGCAACGCCGCGUGAGUGAAGAAGGCUUUCGGGUCGUAAAACUCUGUUGUUGGAGAAGAAUGGUCGGCAGAGUAACUGUUGUCGGCGUGACGGUAUCCAACCAGAAAGCCACGGCUAACUACGUGCCAGCCGCCGCAGUAACAC